rnacentral:rRNA from 1 species
CUUGUGGGUAGCGGUGAAAUUCCAAUCGAGCCCGGAGAUAGCUGGUUCUCCCCGAAAUAGCUUUAGGGCUAGCCUCAAGGUGAGAGAUACGGAGGUAGAGCACUGAAUGUCCUAGGGGGUAUUGCACCUACCGAAGACUAUCAAACUCCGAAUGCCGUCAUCUUAUACUUGGGAGUCAGACUGUGGGGGAUAAGAUUCAUAGUCGAAAGGGCAACAGCCCAGAUCGGCAGCUAAGGUCCCUAAAUGUAAGUUAAGUGGUAAAGGAUGUGGGAUUGCACAGACAACCAGGAUGUUGGCUUAGAAGCAGCCACUCAUUCAAAGAGUGCGUAAUAGCUCACUGGUCGAGUGAUCCUGCGCCGAAGAUUUCCGGGGCUAAAACUUACUACCGAAGCUACGGCAUCAGUAAUGAUGGGUAGGGGAGCUUCCCAUACGGGUUGAAGCAUGACCGUAAGGACAUGUGGACAGUAUGGGAGUGAGAAUGUUGGCAUGAGUAGCGAGAUGUGGGUGAGAAUCCCACAGGCCGUAAACCCAAGGUUUCCAGGGGAAGGUUCGUCCGCCCUGGGUUAGUCGGGACCUAAGCUGAGGCCGA